AUUACUGGGCGUAAAGAGCUCGUAGGUGGUUUGUCGCGUUGUUCGUGAAAUCUCACGGCUUAACUGUGAGCGUGCGGGCGAUACGGGCAGACUUGAGUACUGCAGGGGAGACUGGAAUUCCUGGUGUAGCGGUGGAAUGCGCAGAUAUCAGGAGGAACACCGGUGGCGAAGGCGGGUCUCUGGGCAGUAACUGACGCUGAGGAGCGAAAGCGUGGGGAGCGAACAGGAUUAGAUACCCUGGUAGUCCACGCCGUAAACGGUGGGUACUAGGUGUGGGUUUCCUUCCUUGGGAUCCGUGCCGUAGCUAACGCAUUAAGUACCCCGCCUGGGGAGUACGGCCGCAAGGCUAAAACUCAAAGAAAUUGACGGGGGCCCGCACAAGCGGCGGAGCAUGUGGAUUAAUUCGAUGCAACGCGAAGAACCUUACCUGGGUUUGACAUGCACAGGACGCCGGCAGAGAUGUCGGUUCCCUUGUGGCCUGUGUGCAGGUGGUGCAUGGCUGUCGUCAGCUCGUGUCGUGAGAUGUUGGGUUAAGUCCCGCAACGAGCGCAACCCUUGUCUCAUGUUGCCAGCGGGUAAUGCCGGGGACUCGUGAGAGACUGCCGGGGUCAACUCGGAGGAAGGUGGGGAUGACGUCAAGUCAUCAUGCCCCUUAUGUCCAGGGCUUCACACAUGCUACAAUGGCCGGUACAAAGGGCUG
rnacentral:rRNA from 1 species